GCCAGCACACAAAGUGUCAAUGAAGGCAGUCAUGAUUCAUAGUUUUGCACUCGCUAACACGUUUAUCUCCCUUCAAUUCCUAGGAGGAAUUUACUGAAAUGUAGUUCAGUAAAUCAAGAGUUCUUGUAUCGCUUUAUAUGGGUUCAGCUAGUAAAAAUAAAAUAAAUGCCACUUCUCUAAAAAUUGGAUUACAUAUGAAACAAAGUAAACAAACUUUGGAUACUGAAAUAAUGAUUUCUGACUUUUUAAUAUAAUUGGGAUCACUGGCUUGAUGGUCAUUUAUAAUCAUCAAACUACAAAAACUCAUUGCAAAAAGACUUUCCACAGACAGCUGCACCUGAUCACUUUAGUGGAAAGUUGACUCAAAAAAAAAAAAAA